rnacentral:rRNA from 1 species
UACGGGGGGGGGCAAGCGUUGUUCGGAAUUACUGGGCGUAAAGGGCUCGUAGGUGGCCAACUAAGUCAGACGUGAAAUCCCCUCAGCUUAACUGGGGAACUGCGUCUGAUACUGGAUGGCUUGAGUUUGGGAGAGGGAUGCGGAAUUCCAGGUGUAGCGGUGAAAUGCGUAGAUAUCUGGAGGAACACCGGUGGCGAAGGCGGCAUCCUGGACCAACACUGACACUGAGGAGCGAAAGCCAGGGGAGCAAACGGG